rnacentral:rRNA from 1 species
AUACGGAGGGAGCAAGCGUUAUUCGGAAUCACUGGGCGUAAAGGACGCGUAGGCGGGUUUGUAAGUCAGGUGUGAAAUCUUACAGCUCAACUGUAGAACUGCACUUGAAACUACAGACCUAGAGUAUGGAAGGGGCAGAUGGAAUUAGCGGUGUAGGGGUAAAAUCCGUAGAUAUCACUAGGAAUACCGAAAGCGAAGGCGAUCUGCUGGGACAUUACUGACGCUGAGGCGUGAAAGCGUGGGGAGCAAACAGGAUUAGAAACCCCGGUAGUCC